rnacentral:rRNA from 1 species
GACAGAGGUGCCGAGCGUUAGGCGGAAUCAUUGGGCGUAAAGCGCGUGUAGGCGGCCCGAUAAGUCCGCUGUGAAAGUCGGGGGCUCAACCCUCGAAAGCCGGUGGAUACUGUCAGGCUAGAGUACGGAAGAGGCGAGUGGAAUUCCUGGUGUAGCGGUGAAAUGCGCAGAUAUCAGGAGGAACACCCAUUGCGAAGGCAGCUCGCUGGGACGUUACUGACGCUGAGACGCGAAAGCGUGGGGAGCAAACAGG